rnacentral:misc_RNA from 1 species
GAAAUGCGAUACGUAAUGUGAAUUGCAGGAGUAGUGAAUCAUCAAACCUUUGAACGCAAGUUGCGCACCCAGGCACUCCUGGGCGCACGCUUGUUUGAGCGUCACCCACCAUCCUCAACCUCACGGUUCCCUCGUGGAGUCGCUGAGCAAGGACACGGGCACCUCCACGACUUGUCGUGGCGCUGCUGCAGUUCGAGCGAGGAGCAGGCAUUACAGCCGCUCGCAAAGCAGAUGUCGGACAGCCUUGCUGCUCAUGACUCUGUGAAGAGUGUGCAUUGCAUUCCCUGUUUACCUUGUCGGAAAAGACAGCCUUUGUGCAGUCAGUUUCUAUCCUGUGACCUCAAAUCAAGCGGAGCCACCCGCUGAAUUUAA